rnacentral:rRNA from 2 species
UACGUAGGGGGCAAGCGUUAUCCGGAUUCAUUGGGCGUAAAGCGCGUGUAGGCGGCUUGUUAAGUCAGAUGUGAAAACCGGGGGCUCAACCCGCGGCCUGCAUCUGAAACUGGCAGGCUUGAGUCUGGUAGAGGAAAGUGGAAUUCCUAGUGUAGCGGUGAAAUGCGCAGAUAUUAGGAGGAACACCAGUGGCGAAGGCGGCUUUCUGGGCCACGACUGACGCUGAGACGCGAAAGCUAGGGGAGCGAAC